rnacentral:miRNA from 1 species
UAAUCCGGCCAUACCCAAAAUGGGAUCCCAUUUUGGGUAUGGCCGGAUUA